UGGGGAAUAUUGGACAAUGGGGGGAACCCUGAUCCAGCAAUGCCGCGUGAGUGAAGAAGGCCUUCGGGUUGUAAAGCUCUUUUACCAGGGACGAUAAUGACGGUACCUGGAGAAUAAGCCCCGGCAAACUUCGUGCCAGCAGCCGCGGUAAUACGAAGGGGGCUAGCGUUGUUCGGAAUUACUGGGCGUAAAGCGCACGUAGGCGGAUUGUUAAGUCAGAGGUGAAAUCCCGGAGCUCAACUUCGGAACUGCCUUUGAUACUGGCAAUCUAGAGUCCGGAAGAGGUUAGUGGAAUUCCCAGUGUAGAGGUGAAAUGCGUAGAUAUCAAGAGGAACACCUGAGGUGAAGACGGGUUGCUGGGCUGAUACUGACGCUGAGGCGCGAAAGCUAGGGUAGCAAACGGGAUUAGAUACCCAAGUAGUCCCUGAGCGGGCUGGCAAGGCGCAU
rnacentral:rRNA from 1 species